CAGACAUAUUGUAUACUGAACCAUAAUAUGGUACAAUGUAGUUACUACGACGGAAACUUCGUUUUGCGUAGGUUAUCGUUUACACGAGGUGUGUUUAACAUUUUGAGAAAGGAGAACGUACACGGUUCAUGUGGUAUCUCUUAUACGUAUGUAAUCGAUGUACUUACAAAACUUUCUCACUUUCCCUGUCUAUAUGUGAUUGUGGAACACUCGGGAGUUUAUUUGUUACAUCUGCUUCGACGUAACGAGGAAAAAUAUACGACCUAUGAUGCUCAGAAAGCUUGAAUUUUCGGAAAGAUCGAUUACUUUAUUCAAACACGACGAAUCGUUUUUCUUGACUACUUGGAAUUCAUAACUGCGCAAAGAACUGUUGGAGUAAACAAGAGAGUCAACUAUGGUCACCAGCAAAUCUGCAUCCUCUUAUGAUUCAUCGGCGAAGACCACGAUAACAUCAGCUGUUUUACUACGUGUUAGUUUAUUAAGUACACGUAUACGAAAAUAUUUAAACAGCUUGAGAGGACUCUAAUUGUAAAUGAGACUUUUUUUUUACAGGACAUUAUUUUUUAGCGGACGUGCUCUAAAAAUCAUUCGUUAUAGAGCUGGACUGACACAGAAUGCUCGAGUCUAUAGUCGAAUCAGUUUCGUGCGACGUAACGGACAAAGGCGAGAUUUUCUCUAAUAGUUGAGUGCUAUUUGUAUUUUAUUUUAUUAAAUCUAUAUGACAAUCUA